rnacentral:rRNA from 1 species
UACGUAGGGUGCGAGCGUUGUCCGGAAUUAUUGGGCGUAAAGAGCUCGUAGGCGGUGUGUCACGUCGGCCGUGAAAACCCGGGGCUCAACUUCGGGCUUGCGGUCGAUACGGGCGGGCUAGAGUUCGGUAGGGGAGACUGGAAUUCCUGGUGUAGCGGUGAAAUGCGCAGAUAUCAGGAGGAACACCGGUGGCGAAGGCGGGUCUCUGGGCCGAUACUGACGCUGAGGAGCGAAAGCGUGGGGAGCGAACAGG